rnacentral:rRNA from 1 species
GACGAACGCUGGCGGCGUGCUUAACACAUGCAAGUCGAACGGAAAGGCCCUGCUUUUGUGGGGUGCUCGAGUGGCGAACGGGUGAGUAACACGUGAGUAACCUGCCCUUGACUUUGGGAUAACUUCAGGAAACUGGGGCUAAUACCGGAUAGGAGCUCCUGCUGCAUGGUGGGGGUUGGAAAGUUUCGGCGGUUGGGGAUGGACUCGCGGCUUAUCAGCUUGUUGGUGGGGUAGUGGCUUACCAAGGCUUUGACGGGUAGCCGGCCUGAGAGGGUGACCGGCCACUUGGGAAAGGAAAUGCGGCCUGAACCCCUAGGGGGGGGAGGAGUGGGAAAAAUGGCAAAAUGGGCGGAAGCCUGAUGAGGCAACGGCGGGGGGGGGGGGGGGGCCUUCGGGUUGUAAACCGCUUUGGCGUGGGAGGAGGCGUGGGUGGGGGUAAUGGGAAAAGGAGCCCCGGCAAACUACGG